rnacentral:rRNA from 1 species
CCUACGGGGGACAGCAGUGGGGGAUAUUGCACAAUGGGGGAAACCCUGAUGCAGCGACGCCGCGUGUGGGAAGACGGUCCUCUGGAUUGUAAACCACUGUCCCCAGGGACGCAGAUGACGCUACCUGGGGCGGAUGCUCCGCCUAACUACGUGCCAGCAGCCGCGGUAAUACGUAGGGAGCACGCGUUGUCCGGAAUUACUGGGUGUAAAGGGAGCGUAAGCGGGAUGGCAAGGUGGGUGUUAACUCUACGGGCUCAACUGGUAGUCGCACUCAAAACUGCUAUUCUUGAGUAAAGUAGAGGCAGGCGGAAUUCCUAGUGUAGCGGUGAAAUGCGUAGAUAUUAGGAGGAACACCAGUGGCGAAGGCGGCCUGCUGGGCUUUUACUGACGCUGAGGCUCGAAAGUGUGGGGAGCAAACAGGAUUAGAUACCCUUGUAGUC